rnacentral:piRNA from 1 species
UCCCAAAGUGCUAGGAUUACAGGAGUGAG